GGCUGCCAAACCCUCAGAGCUUGGGGGCUAAGUGGAGGCCAGCUGAGAGAGAAGCUGGAUAAGACCCUACAAUUGGCUGAAUUGUGACCCAGCUCCAGGAGGAAAGCUGGGGACUCCUGCAGCUGGAAAUAAAGUGGAGGAGACAGCACCAUGUGACCAACUAGCUCUCGGCAGGCCACCAGCCAGUGUUCCAUAGAUCACAAUUUGAGGACCUGCACUCUAAAGUUUUGAAAUGAAUUUCUGGGUUACAACUGAUCUUCCAGUUGGAACCCCAGAUCGGCAGUUAACCAGCUGGAACCCCAGAUCGGCA